GACGAACGCUGGCGGCGUGCUUAACACAUGCAAGUCGAACGGAAAGGCCCUGCUUUUGUGGGGUGCUCGAGUGGCGAACGGGUGAGUAACACGUGAGUAACCUGCCCUUGACUUUGGGAUAACUUCAGGAAACUGGGGCUAAUACCGGAUAGGAGCUCCUGCUGCAUGGUGGGGGUUGGAAAGUUUCGGCGGUGGGGGCGGGACUCGCGGCUUAUCAGCUUGUUGGUGGGGUAGUGGCUUACCAAGGCUUUGAGGGGUAGCCGGCCUGAGAGGGUGACCGGCCACAUUGGGACUGAGAUACGGCCCAGACUCCUACGGGAGGCAGCAGUGGGGAAUAUUGCACAAUGGGCGGAAGCCUGAUGCAGCAACGCCGCGUGCGGGAUGACGGCCUUCGGGUUGUAAACCGCUUUCGCCUGUGACGAAGCGUGAGUGACGGUAAUGGGUAAAGAAGCACCGGCUAACUACGUG
rnacentral:rRNA from 1 species